rnacentral:rRNA from 1 species
GACGGAAGGUGCAAGCGUUGCUCGGAAUCACUGGGCGUAAAGGGUGCGUAGGCGGCUUGGUAGGUCUGGUGUGAAAGCCCCGGGCUCAGCCCGGGAAGGGCACUAGAAACUGCCAAGCUAGAGUGCCGGAGGGGAGAGUGGAAUUCCUGGUGUAGCGGUGAAAUGCGUAGAGAUGUGGAGGAACACCGAUGGCGAAGGCAGCCUCCUGGGCCAACACUGACACUCAGGCACGAAAGCGUGGGGAGCAAACAGG